GACGUAGGGCACGAGCGUUGUCCGGAUUUAUUGGGCGUAAAGAGCUCGUAGGCGGCUUGUCGCGUCGAAUGUGAAAACUCGGGGCUCAACUCCGAGCUUGCAUUCGAUACGGGCAGACUAGAGUUCGGUAGGGGAGUCUGGAAUUCCUGGUGUAGCGGUGAAAUGCGCAGAUAUCAGGAGGAACACCGGUGGCGAAGGCGGGACUCUGGGCCGAUAUUGACGCUGAGGAGCGAAAGCGUGGGGAGCAAACAGG
rnacentral:rRNA from 1 species